AUUCCCCUGCGAGGCUCGGCCGCCGCCCUGUGCAACAACCUCAGUGUGCUGCAGCUGCCGGCUCGCAACCUCACGUAUUUUGGCGUGGUUCAUGGACCAAGCGCCCAGCUUCUCAGCGCUGCUCCUGAGGGUGUGCCCUUGGCCCAGCGCCAGCUCCAUGCUAAGGAGGGUGCUGGAGUGAGCCCCCCACUUAUCACUCAGGUCCACUGGUGUGUCCUCCCCUUCCGAGUGCUGCUGGUACUCACCUCACAUCGAGGAAUACAGAUGUACGAGUCCAAUGGCUACACCAUGGUCUACUGGCAUGCACUGGACUCUGGAGAUGCCUCCCCAGUACAGGCUGUGUUUGCCCGGGGAAUUGCUGCCAGUGGCCACUUCAUCUGUGUGGGAACGUGGUCAGGCCGGGUGCUGGUGUUUGACAUCCCAGCAAAGGGUCCCAACAUUGUACUGAGUGAGGAGCUGGCUGGGCACCAGAUGCCAAUCACAGACAUUGCCACCGAGCCUGCCCAGGGACAGCUGUGGCAGGGGAUCAUAGCAGCAGGCUAUGGGAAUGGACAAGUGCAUCUGUAUGAGGCCACUACAGGGAAUCUACAUGUCCAGAUCAAUGCCCAUGCCCGGGCCAUCUGCGCCCUGGACCUGGCUUCUGAGGUGGGCAAGCUACUCUCUGCAGGUGAGGAUACCUUUGUGCAUAUCUGGAAGCUCAGCAGAAGCCCAGAGAGUGGCUACAUUGAGGUAUGUGUCAUGGGGUGGGUGGACUUGGGGGGCCCAAGCAUGGGGCAGCAGGCCCUGACCAGCCCUCUGCUCCCCCAGGUGGAACACUGUCAUGGUGAGUGUGUCUCCGACACCCAGCUGUGUGGUGCUCGAUUUUGUGAUUCCUCAGGCAGCUCCUUUGCUGUGACUGGCUAUGACCUUGCGGAGAUCCGGAGAUUCAGCAGUGUGUGAGAA
rnacentral:sRNA from 1 species